rnacentral:rRNA from 1 species
UACGGGAGGCAGCAGUGAGGAAUGUUGGACAAUGGAGGCAACUCUGAUCCAGCCAUGCCGCGUGCAGGAAGACUGCCCUAUGGGUUGUAAACUGCUUUUAUACAGGAAGAAACACUGCUACGUGUAGCAGCUUGACGGUACUGUAAGAAUAAGGAUCGGCUAACUCCGUGCCAGCAGCCGCGGUAAU